rnacentral:rRNA from 1 species
UACGUAGGGUGCGAGCGUUGUCCGGAAUUAUUGGGCGUAAAGAGCUCGUAGGCGGUGUGUCACGUCGGCCGUGAAAACCUGCAGCUUAACUGUGGGCGUGCGGUCGAUACGGGCAUCACUGGAGUUCGGCAGGGAGACUGGAAUUCCUGGUGUAGCGGUGAAAUGCGCAGAUAUCAGGAGGAACACCGAUGGCGAAGGCAGGUCACUGGGCCGCAACUGACGCUGAGGAGCGAAAGCAUGGGGAGCGAACAGG